rnacentral:misc_RNA from 1 species
UCCAACUUAUCGCUGGCGGUCUCCUGCGAGUUCCGGUAUUUCUACCAUGGCAACACAGGACGAGGGUUGCGCUCGUUGCGGGACUUAACCCAACAUCUCACGACACGAGCUGACGACAGCCAUGCAGCACCUCGACUGGACCUCCUUGCGGAGUAGCGCUGUUUCCAACGCCGUUAACCAGCCGUUCGAGCCCAGGUAAGGUUCUUCGCGUUGCGUCGAAUUGAACCACAUGCUCCACCGCUUGUGCGGGCCCCCGUCAAUUCCUUUGAGUUUCAGCCUUGCGACUGUACUCCCCAGGCGGCAUAUUUAACGCGUUAGCUCCGGCACGGAUCAACUGAAUGACCCACACCAAAUAUGCAUCGUUUAGGGCGUGGACUAC